CGUGUAGGCGGGAUUGCAAGUCAGAUGUGAAAACUGGGGGCUCAACCUCCAGCCUGCAUUUGAAACUGUAGUUCUUGAGUGCUGGAGAGGCAGUCGGAAUUCCGUGUGUAGCGGUGAAAUGCGUAGAUAUACGGAGGAACACCAGUGGCGAAGGCGGAUUGCUGGACAGUAACUGACGCUGAGGCGCGAAAGCGUGGGGAGCAAACA
rnacentral:rRNA from 1 species